rnacentral:rRNA from 1 species
CAUAGGUUAAUGAGGCGAACCGGGGGAACUGAAACAUCUAAGUACCCCGAGGAAAAGAAAUCAACCGAGAUUCCCCCAGUAGCGGCGAGCGAACGGGGAGGAGCCCAGAGCCUGAAUCAGUGUGUGUGUUAGUGGAAGCGUCUGGAAAGGCGCGCGAUACAGGGUGACAGCCCCGUACACAAAAAUGCACAUACUGUGAGCUCGAUGAGUAGGGCGGGACACGUGGUAUCCUGUCUGAAUAUGGGGGGACCAUCCUCCAAGGCUAAAUACUCCUGACUGACCGAUAGUGAACCAGUACCGUGAGGGAAAGGCGAAAAGAACCCCGGCGAGGGGAGUGAAAAAGAACCUGAAACCGUGUACGUACAAGCAGUGGGAGCCUCUUAAUGGGGUGACUGCGUACCUUUUGUAUAAUGGGUCAGCGACUUAUAUUCUGUAGCAAGGUUAACCGAAUAGGGGAGCCGAAGGGAAACCGAGUCUUAACUGGGCGUUAAGUUGCAGGGUAUAGACCCGAAACCCGGUGAUCUAGCCAUGGGCAGGUUGAAGGUUGGGUAACACUAACUGGAGGACCGAACC